UACAGAGGGGGCCAGCGUUGUUCGGAAUUACUGGGCGUAAAGGGCGCGUAGGCGGCCUUCUAAGUCGAACGUGAAAUCCCCGGGCUCAACCCGGGAACUGCGUCCGAUACUGGAAGGCUUGAAUCCGGGAGAGGGAUGCGGAAUUCCAGGUGUAGCGGUGAAAUGCGUAGAUAUCGGGAAGAACACCAGUGGCGAAAGCGCUCUACUGGGCCAUGACUGACACUGAGGGACGAAAGCUAGGGGAGCGAAAGGG
rnacentral:rRNA from 1 species